rnacentral:rRNA from 1 species
GUGACAUACCACUUGUUGCCUCGGCGGAUCAGCCCGCUCCCGGUAAAACGGGACGGCCCGCCAGAGGACCCCUAAACUCUGUUUCUAUAUGUAACUUCUGAGUAAAACCAUAAAUAAAUCAAAACUUUCAACAACGGAUCUCUUGGUUCUGGCAUCGAUGAAGAACGCAGCAAAAUGCGAUAAGUAAUGUGAAUUGCAGAAUUCAGUGAAUCAUCGAAUCUUUGAACGCACAUUGCGCCCGCCAGUAUUCUGGCGGGCAUGCCUGUUCGAGCGUCAUUUCAACCCUCAAGCACAGCUUGGUGUUGGGACUCGCGUUAAUUCGCGUUCCUCAAAUUGAUUGGCGGUCACGUCGAGCUUCCAUAGCGUAGUAGUAAAACCCUCGUUACUGGUAAUCGUCGCGGCCACGCCGUUAAACCCCAACUUCUGAAUGUUGACCUCGGAUCAGGUAGGAAUACCCGCUGAACUUAAGCAUAUCAAU